GAUAGUGUCACAAAGAAGGUGACCUUUCCUAGGAAUGGGUAGGAUUUUAAGAGGCUGAGAUCACCAUGAAAGAGGACGGAGAGGUAUGAAAUACACAUUAACUGGAAUGUAUCAUGAGAAAGGCAAAAUCCAAAAAGAAAAAAAAGGGAAGAAAAGUACAAAGCAUCCUGGAGACCUGUUCUGCUUUUAGAGAAGCCAAGCCAAGAUGGAUGGUACUGGAAGUGGUCCUGAGAAGCAGAAUAUGAGAUGGUAUUUUGGAAGCUCUGUAAUGAAGUCCCGGUCACUAGUGGCAGACCCAAGCCAGUUAUCAGAUCCAGAAUCCAUUGACUGAGCCAGGUACUCAUCAGAAAGGAACAGCAACAUUACAGCAAGCAGGUCAAUACCCGGUCCUUCCCUGAA